CGUGGCUCUGUCGCGACAGCCGCGAUUAAAGGAGGCUCGGUGAAGGGGUCUGGCGUGCAAGUGUUGUGAGAGGCGGCUGGGCACGUUUAGCCUGGAGAAAAAGGGGCUGAGGGGACCUGAGACCUUAUCGCUCUGCACGGCUCCCUGACAGGAGGGUGCAGCCAGACGUUUCCCAGAGGUGCUUGAGCUUCCCUCUGCUCGGUGGUGACACCCAGUUAUGGCAGAAACCCCCGUGCCCCCUACCUGCCAUAAAUAACACCCAGCACCCUGCAGGGAAGAUGCUCCUCUUUCUGUCCCAGAUUCACCAGCAGGAAAAAAGUCCUGAGUUCACUCCAGGACUUCAGCAAAGUCCUGAGCCUUUUCUCCAGACAUUGAUGGGAGCUUGCUGUUAUCUUCAGCGCAAGAGCAACCCUACUCCUGUCCUUGCACCGUCACUUCAUUUAUUGCCAAUUAACUGACUCGUUGGAGCUGAGCAGGGUCAGCAGAUAAUGGGAAUCUGGGCAUUUGUGGGGGAAAAGACACAGUGCAAAUGCCAAGGAAAUAUGACCAGGAGGCACUUGGAAAGCCAAGUGAGUGACUGGGAAACGGUAAAAAUCAACCUCUCAGCCCUCUUGGGUGGGGCACACAGGGCACGCUGCACCUGAGCUCCGCCAACUCCUGUUUGUCCAGCGAGUGCACCAGCCACCUGACACAUUCCCGGUUGCUCCUCCGGAGCUUUGUUUCCUGUGACCAACACCCAUUUGCACUAUUUCCUAAACAAGCAAGGGCUCAUCAGCGAGUGCCAUCGGUCCCACUCCUGCUUUCCCUUUGAACUGUCUCUGCGGGCUGGGGAACAGCCAAGUUCAAACAACCCGUGCUCGGGCAUCAGCCUGGGAGGACAUAGAGCAUUAACGGAUUUAAUAGCACCAAACAGAUCAAAGCUUUCAAAUUGCAUAAUUAAAAAAUAUCCCCGAGGCACCAGUCUGUGAUACCACAGGACGCCAACAUGGGGUGCAGAAACCUGUGACUACAUUCGUCUGAAAUAUUUCCCGAGUGUUUAAAAAGGUGUAAAAAUCCACUAUUUAUUUUAUUUUAUUUUAUUUUAUUUUAAAACACAUUUUAUUCCAACAUAUGAACCACAUGUAGUGGAACAAUGGCUGUGCAAGCAGGACAUGGGGCAGGGAGAACCCUGUUUUUUAAAAUAAAGAUUAAAAUAAAAUAUUUUUUUUAAUUCUA